rnacentral:rRNA from 1 species
GACGUAGGGCGCGAGCGUUGUCCGGAUUUAUUGGGCGUAAAGAGCUCGUAGGCGGCUUGUCGCGUCGGCUGUGAAAUCCCGUGGCUCAACUGCGGGCUUGCAGCCGAUACGGGCAGGCUAGAGUUCGGUAGGGGAGACUGGAAUUCCUGGUGUAGCGGUGAAAUGCGCAGAUAUCAGGAAGAACACCCGUGGCGAAAGCGGCUCUCUGGGACGGUACUGACGCUGAGACGCGAAAGCGUGGGGAGCGAACAGG